rnacentral:lncRNA from 12 species
UGGAAACUCCCAAAAUUGUGAUUGGGAAGAUGAAGGAGGCUUCUCUCAGUGACAGUCCAAUAGUGAAUAAAGUAAGCAGGCAAAUGGAAAGGUGUCAGCUGAAGAUGUCAGGCUGCAUUUCAAGGAUUGGAUUAUAGACAAUCAUUCCCAGACAACCAGCAGCUUCAUGGCCCAGUACAUGCAGCCUACACGUCAGGUGUUGAAUGCUGCCCUUUCCAACAGGCCUCAUCAGAUAUUCAGUUCAAG